rnacentral:rRNA from 1 species
UACGUAGGGUGCGAGCGUUAAUCGGAAUUACUGGGCGUAAAGCGUGCGCAGGCGGUUUUGUAAGCCGGAUGUGAAAUCCCCGGGCUUAACCUGGGAAUGGCAUUCGGGACUGCAAGGCUGGAGUGCGGCAGAGGGGGAUGGGAAUUCCGCGUGUAGCAGUGAAAUGCGUAGAUAUGCGGAGGAACACCGAUGGCGAAGGCAAUCCCCUGGGCCUGCACUGACGCUCAUGCACGAAAGCGUGGGGAGCAAACAGG